rnacentral:rRNA from 1 species
CUACGGGCUGCUCCAGUGGGGAAUAUUGGACAAUGGGGGAAACCCUGAUCCAGCAAUGCCGCGUGUGUGAAGAAGGCCUGCGGGUUGUAAAGCACUUUCGGUUGGGAGGACUGCUUCUAGCACUAAUAUUGUUGGAAGUUGACGUUACCUUCAGAAGAAGCACCGGCUAGCUCCGUGCCAGCAGCCGCGGUAAUACGGGGGGUGCAAGCGUUAAUCGGAAUGACUGGGCGUAAAGCGCGCGUAGGCGGCUAGAUCAGUCGGGUGUGAAAGCCCCGGGCUUAACCUGGGAACUGCAUCCGAUACUGUCUAGCUUGAGUACAGGAGAGGAGAGUGGAAUUCCACAUGUAGCGGUGAAAUGCGUAGAUAUGUGGAGGAACACCAAUGGCGAAGGCAGCUCUCUGGCCUGAUACUGACGCUGAGGUGCGAAAGCGUGGGGAGCAAACAGGAUUAGAUACCCUCGUAGUC